GGGUGAGUAGUUCACUGGCAGAACGCUUUCCUGAUAAGAAAGAGGCACAUGGUCCGAUUCCAUGCUCACCCACCA
rnacentral:tRNA from 1 species